GCAGGGCUUGGGCAGAGACCAGUGCUUCCCUACUGUCCCAGCGCACAGCUGCUGAAACACACCCGGGAAGCAGCCGCAUGCCGGGUUAGGUAUCAGACUGCAGGUUUUUGAGGGCUGCAAGCCUGAAUUCAGAACACGUUUUCUGAGAAAAUAUCAGCAAGGGAAGAAGUCCGACAGACCCCAGGCUACAAAUACUCCUCUCCACGAGGACAGUGCACCCCGCUCAUAAAUGCUCAACUCUCAACUCGUAACUCUUGGCGACCCUGCAGUACCCAUGCGCAGCCUGGGAACCAAGGUCGCUUACCCACAUGAACCGCCCCCAGGGCCGGGUUCACGCACCAGUACGGAAGGACAGCCACACCCCUGAGAGGCAAAGAAUCGUUCCUCGGACUCACCACCCUGGUCACACGGGACGUGUGACACUACUUGCAUCCGGCCCUCAGCUGGCCUCAGAAAAAUAAUGACUUUCAAAUGACAGAUUUUCUCUAAAUAAAUUUCUACUCAGUACAGCUGAAAUGCUCAAUAGUUUACCAUUCUCAAGGAUGCCAUUUGGGCCCAUAGAUAAAUUUAUACCGAAAUUCAUGUUGCAAGUUGCAAACUCUGUCGGGAUGUCCCUAACUUCCCAGAACGUGAAAGAAUAAAGUCUGGCUGAGAAACACAGUCCAGGGUUUACAGGGAUACCACGUUAUCCUCUACCAGAGAACCUGCCUGGGCAGAAGCCUUCGACAAGGACCGCACGUGUCUCCCCACUCCCGCCCCAGCCCCACAGCCACCACGUGGGUCCAGCUCCCAGCCCUCAGGCUCACCGCACCGGCACCCAGCGGGUCGCGUGCCGUGCUGUGCACUUUGUUCACUUCUUCCCUCACGCCACUUCUUGCUCAGGGACCACGACUGUCCCAUUUCCUGAGCACUUCUGUCAGGAGGUCAGGCCCUCGGUGACCAGGUCCCCCACAGCUACCGGCCAGGCACCCUUCCCAUCCUACCGCCCAGGCAGCAGACGGGCCCGACAUGACGUGGCCUGAGCCAGCCUCAGCAGCGAGCCCCAUGCCAAAGAGCCCCACGUCGGCCCUUCCCACCGUCCGUGCCCGCCCUCAAGCCUCACCCGCCAGGGACCCGUGCUCUGAGGUCCGGCACUAGGACCCGGGCUCCCUCCAAACGUCACCUCUCCCCCAGAAGCCUGGGGACGCUCCAGCUUCUGCACGUACGCAAGACAUCCAACUCCACCUUCAGACCCGCCCCAAGCCUCCUGGCUUCCUAAGAAACAGAACACUGCUGCCCAGUGGACUCAUGGGGAGAGAAGCCCCCAGAAUCUAUGGAGAACUUUUCUAACAGUGGUGCAAUCUGUCAGUUCCUUGAUAAAAACAGGUCUUAUGUAAUUCAA